GCCCCACACACCCCCAGAGCUGGGGGAAUCCCAGCGGACAGUCCCCUCAGGGAAAUGGGGUCGAGCUGGUGCAGCCCGUCACUGCUUCGGGGGGCUACGCACAGCAGGAGAGCGCUCCAGGCGAUGGGGCCACAUGGAGGGCAUGGAUGGGAGUAGCAAGGCACCAGGCAAGGCAUUUCGGGGGGCUCCCUGGCUGGGUGCAGAACAGGAGCCCGAGAGGAAAAAGCUGCUUCCUAAUCCUGGUUGCGGGGCCAGGCCCUCAGCUGGAGUCGAUGUGCAAACUGGGCUCGUUAACGCAGCCGGGACGCCUGGCUAAUGCUCAGCAGUGGCAGGGGCAGGGUAACCCGCUAAGGGGGAUGUGCCACCCCGGGCAGGCCACAGAGCAGGGUCUGUGGGGGACACCUGCCCCCAGAGCUGAGCGGCUUUUGGAAAGAACAGCCCAGGACAGCCUCAAAUGAAAGUCGUUUUUAUUGGUACCGUACAUGGCCCCAAAAUGGCACAAACGAGGCGAAAAGAAAAGAAAAGGCGGCAGGAUUAGAGUGUGCCGAGGACGAGGCAGCAGGGCAGGGGGCACAUUAUACUGCCCAGGGGGUGAUGCGGGGGCCACAUUAUGGUGCCCGGGGUGAGGCAGGGCAGGGCGGGGGGCUCAUUACAGCUGCCCAGGGGGUGAUGCAGGGGGCACACGUCACCAUUUCAUGCCAAGCCACAGCAAUGGGGAGGUGAGAGACCCCCCCUCACCCAUUUCCCUCCCCAGCCUCCGUGGACAGGCUGGUCCCAAUGCUCCAUCUUGGCUGAGAGGCCUCGAGAGCCCCCGCACAAAGCGUCCAGGCCUCCUGCUCCUCUCUCAGCCUCCCACGGGCCAAGGGAACACGACCUGGGCCGGCCCCAGGCAGAGGCGCUAGCUGGGCACCUCGGUGGGGACAUGUGCCAGGAGGACACCAGGGCUGCUGGGAGUCUAAGCCAGGUGCCCCGAAGGGGGGGCUUUCCAGUGACCCCACCCCAGACAGAGAGCUAGUCUGGGCCGUCAGACGGGGGAGGAAGUGGGGCCCAGAAUGGGGGAGGGACGGUGCCACCUGCUGAAGGACACUGUUCCCACGCGAGGAGCAGCAGUACAAGCAGUGUCGACGGGGCUCAGACCUGCCCCGGGCCUUGCGGCAGGAGCCCCCGGCUUGGGACAGUGCAGGAGCCGGGCUGGAGACACGCACAGGAGGAGCCCCCGGCCCCAGGGCCCUUCUGUCCCCAGCCGCCAGUUCUAGGCCCCCAGCAGGCGGGAAGUGACCCGAGAGAGCAGCCCGAGGGGGCAGGAGACGCUGAGCCCCCACCCCAAAGGGGGCAACCGAGGGACCCACAGUGGCCGGCCCCCUGUCUGGGUAACCCGAGAACAGGGACCUGGGGGGGGGGCACUGCCACCUGGUGUGGUGCAGGGGCGCCCCCUGGUGGUCACUGGGAACCAAACACUGCAGGCUGGGCAGGGAAAGUCACUGACUCCGUCUCCCAGCCCCGAGCUGGGGCCUGAAACCAGCCUUUGGCCAGUGGCUGGCUCCAGGGCAUGGGGGCACCUUGGGCUGUUACAGACCUGCUGCUGCCACGCUCCCCAGCCCAGACCUGCUCUACCACGCUCUGUGCGGGGAGGGGUGGGAGCAGAGAACACCCACUCCACCCCCCUGCCCACCCAUUCGUGCCCCCCCCCCCCCCCCCAGGCUCCGCGCCCUGCUGCAGCUGAUCUGCCCUGACCCCAGCCCGGCCGGGCGCCCGGUAAUGCACCUGGCCAUACAGAGCUGUCCCACCGCAGGAGUGUGGGCGGCCAUCACCCCCCCUGUGCAGAGUGCUGGGUAACCACCCCGAAUCGCCUGUCCCCAGCCCCCACCAAUGCCCCGGGGGUUAACUGGUAAUGGCAUCCCCUGUCCCCAGCCCUGACACCCACGAACACCCCGGGGUGAACUGGUGACAGCACCCCUUCCCCGCACCUGUCCCCACCCCUGAUGCCCGUGAACGCCCCGCGUGUGAACUGGUGACGGCGCCCCCUUCCCCCCGCCUGCCUGCUCGGAAGAAGCCGGGGAAGGAUUUUCCUUUUAAAAAUCAUUAUUAUUCUUCUGGUUUCCCCUAACAUCAAAGGAGGCAGCUGCUCUAAUAAGAACACAUUGAAAGAACAGGAUCAUACACCGUCUACAGCGCGGAAAUGUACAAGCACGAGGUACACAAACCUGGGGGUGGGGACUACAGCA